rnacentral:rRNA from 1 species
AUUGAACGCUGGCGGCAGGCCUAACACAUGCAAGUCGAACGAGUGGCGGACGGGUGAGUAAUGCUUGGGAAUCUAGCUUAUGGAGGGGGUUAACUACGGGAAACUGUAGCUAAUACCGCGUACCUUAGGAUGUGCCCAGAUGUGAUUUGCUAGUAGGUGGGGUAAUGGCUCACCUAGGCGACGAUCCCUAGCUGGUCUGAGAGGGUGACCGUCCACACUGGAACUGAGACACGGUCCAGACUCCUACGGGAGGCAGCAGUGGGGAAUAUUGCACAAUGGGCGCAAGCCUGAUGCAGCCAUGCCGCGUGUGUGAAGAAGGCCUUCGGGUUGUAAAGCACUUUCAGCGAGGAGGCGUUACUCGCAGAGAAAGCACCGGCUAACUCCGUGCCAGCCGCCGCGGUAAUAC